rnacentral:rRNA from 1 species
UACGUAGGGGGCUAGCGUUGUCCGGAAUCAUUGGGCGUAAAGCGCGUGUAGGCGGCCCGGUAAGUCCGCUGUGAAAGUCGGGGGCUCAACCCUCGGAUGCCGGUGGAUACUGUCGGGCUCGAGUACGGAAGAGGCGAGUGGAAUUCCUGGUGUAGCGGUGAAAUGCGCAGAUAUCGCUUGGAACGCCGAAGGUGAAAACAGGCUGCUGGGGUUGUGCCGACGCUGAGACACGAAAGCCAGGGGAGCAAACGGG